rnacentral:rRNA from 1 species
CGCCGCGUGAGGGAUGACGGCCUUCGGGUUGUAAACCUCUUUUAGUAGGGAAGAAGCGAAAGUGACGGUACCUGCAAAAAAAGCACCGGCUAACUACGUGCCAGCAGCCGCGGUAAUACGUAGGGUGCAAGCGUUGUCCGGAAUUAUUGGGCGUAAAGAGCUCGUAGGCGGUUUGUCGCGUCUGCUGUGAAAUCUGGGGGCUCAACCCCCAGCCUGCAGUGGGUACGGGCAGACUAGAGUGCGGGCGGGGAGAUUGGAAUUCCUGGUGUAGCGGUGGAAUGCGCAGAUGAAGAGAGGAACACCGAUGGGCAAGGCGCAUCUCUGGGCCGGAACCUACGCUGAGGAACGAAAGCAUGGGGAGCGAACAAGAUUACAUACCCUGGUAGUCCAUGCCCUAAACGUUGGGAACUACAUGUGGGGGCCAUUCCACGGGCUCCGUGUCACAGCUAACGCAUUAAGUUCCCCGCCUGGGGAGUACGGCCGCAAGGCUAAAACUCAAAAGAAUUGACGGGGGCCCGCACAAGCGGCGGAGCAUGCUGAUUAAUUCCAUGCAACGCCAAGAACCUUACCGAGGCGUGACAUAUACCGGACACAUCCAGAUAUGGUCGCCCCGCAUGGUCG